AGGCUGACCUCUUCACCUGUGGAAAUGUGAAUUGAGAUUAGACAUUUCGGCGAUGAGAUCAGCCAGU
rnacentral:pre_miRNA from 1 species